UUUCUGCUGCAGAGGAAGAACUGCUUUCCGCAAGGCUGUCAUCCCAAAAUAACAGCCUGCGAUUCAGAGACUUUAUUAAGAAGACACCAGGUUUUACUCAAUCUGCAGAGGCGGAGCAAAAAUUUUAUGUUGGAGUACAUAAACUCAUCCCACUGUCUUGGGAUAUUCAAACUUUAUUGAACAGGGAUACACAAUGGAGAUCUACUCAUCAACUGCAUGUGUAGUGACAAUCUUGUACAUUUUUGCUACAUCCUCUGCGCAAGACAGUUCUUGGCUGCGUUCCCCAAAAACGCAGCCCAUCCCUGUAUCGCUGCAAACAACAGUGUUUCCCCUGCCAUUAUUUUAGGGGGGCGGCUCGCCCCCCCAACGGCACCCCAU
rnacentral:lncRNA from 1 species